rnacentral:rRNA from 1 species
UACGAAGGGGGCUAGCGUUGCUCGGAAUCACUGGGCGUAAAGGGUGCGUAGGCGGGUCUUUAAGUCAGGGGGGAAAUCCUGGAGCUCAACUCCAGAACUGCCUUUGAUACUGGCGAUCUCGAGUCCGGGAGAGGUGAGUGGAACUGCGAGUGUAGAGGUGAAAUUCGUAGAUAUUCGCAAGAACACCAGUGGCGAAGGCGGUUACCUGGGGUUGUUCUGACGCUGAGGAGCGAAAGCGUGGGGAGCAAACAGG